rnacentral:rRNA from 1 species
UACGGAGGGAGCUAGCGUUGUUCGGAAUUACUGGGCGUAAAGCGCACGUAGGCGGCUUUGUAAGUUAGAGGUGAAAGCCCGGGGCUCAACUCCGGAACUGCCUUUAAGACUGCAUCGCUUGAAUCCAGGAGAGGUGAGUGGAAUUCCGAGUGUAGAGGUGAAAUUCGUAGAUAUUCGGAAGAACACCAGUGGCGAAGGCGACUGACUGGACAAGUAUUGACGCUGAGGUACGAAAGCGUGGGGAGCAAACAGG